CUCGAGGGAGGACUCUCGCUAGUUCCAGGUCAGGAAGAGACCAGAACAACCCCAGCAUUCUGGGCAUGAACAGAGAGCCAAGGAUCAUCUCCAGACAUCGAAGGGCAUCAUUAUCACGGAUAAGAACACAGAUGCUGGGGCUGGAGAGAUGGCGCAGAGGUUAAGAGCUGGCACUAAUCUUUCAGAGGACUGGAGUUUGGUUCCCAUCCCCAUGUUGGGCAGAUCAUGACGGCCUGUGACUACAGCUUCAGAGGGCCUAGAACCUUCUUCUGGAGACCCUGCAUGCUCUGCCUUCAUGUGCUCCUUCCCCUAAGACACAGACGCCUUCCUAACCGUCUCUGGUGACAACAGGACAGGAACAUCACAGCUGUUUAUGUGCUAUGAUUUCCUGUGUGUGCACACAGGAAUAAGACCCUCUUGCCUUGCCCACAAACCACUCUUCACUCUUGGGAUGACCUUGCUCCAGCUGGGAUCAGAAGUUCUAGAGCAUUCUGGAAGACAGAAUGGGUAGCAAGUACAGGAGAGAGCUCCCAACUUCAUCACCACCAGGAAAAUGCAAAAUGCAACCAUGAGAUGCCACCUCUCAAACAUA
rnacentral:lncRNA from 1 species